rnacentral:rRNA from 1 species
AAGCUCGUAGUUGAAUUUCGGGAUCAGUACACUGGUCAUGCUUCAGUAUGUACUGGUGUCACUGAUUCCUUCCUUCUGAUGAACCGUCAUGCCAUUAAUUUAGUGUGAUGGGGAAUCAGGACUGUUACUUUGAAAAAAUUAGAGUGUUUAAAGCAGGCUCGCGCUUGAAUACAUUAGCAUGGAAUAAUGAAAUAGGACGUUGAUCUUAUUUUAUUGGUUUCUUAAAUCGACGUAAUGAUUAAUAGGGAUAGUUGGG